UUUAAUGUUUAUUAUGCAAAUGUCGCUUUUUAAAAGCUGUGCUUCCAAAACGCGUCUGUGACUCCGAGCAUGUUUCGAAUCUAAAUCGUCGAAAUUGCGGUCUUACAAUUCGCCUACAUGGAAAAAUUCAAAGUGAUAUGUUGUAAAAGGUCGUAGCAACUAACUGGUGGCUGUCUGGAGGGCACCAGCGAUACCAUUUUGGUACUCCUCUACCCACCAAACACCACCAAUUUGGACAAAUGAAAUUACUG